GAGCAAUAAUGUUUUGAAUUUGCGAUGUGCUCAGAGCAUCGACCGAGGCAGCAGAAUCAAGUGCCGGUAAGCAGGCAACUGUGGAGGUGAAUUUUUGCGCCUGUUGCACUGUCGGGUGCGUGCCCGAGGAAAAAGAAAAAUUGUGCUCUGGAGAAGCCUGUUCGUGGGCCAAGACCUGGUGGGUAGAAGAGAAAACGGGCCUGGACUCAGAGCCUGAUGGAUUAAGUGAUCUGGUUCUAGGGGUGGGCCGAGACUGAAAUGAAUUGCGGGCUUAAGCUUGGGCUUGAACGUGUCCUUCAUUAAAAACAGGCGAGUGCAUUUUGGGCUUGGGCUUGAGGCCCGGUGGGUACCCAUGUAAGCGGUAACACCUGUCUACAGUGUGGCCCCCGAGCCCACAGUGUGGUCCCCGAGCCCACAGUGUGAACAGGUGGGUCGUCUUCGACCUUGAGUUAGGGCA
rnacentral:lncRNA from 1 species